UUUAGUUUUUAUUUGAAAGUGUACGAGAGAACUUGAAAAACUGUAAAAUUGAAAUUUUUAAAAGUGUUUUAAAAAUUUUAGUUGUUUAUAAAUUUUAGUUGUUUUUGGUGGUAUUACUUUGGCAAAAUAUUUUAAAUUGCCUGACCCAAAAUCGUAUUUAGAUGCAACGACUCGUGAACUUGUUUUACCUUUGCCAGGGUAUCAUCUCCCCUGGCGAGAGUCAGCACAAUCUUGGAAGAUGCUAUCGACAGGCAGUGGAACGACGUGAAAAUGUCGUCCCGUCGAGCCCUUGCCAUGUGUCCCGCUCGAUCCACUGUGCAAGAUGGUCAGCGGAGUCCUUGCGCAAACCAGUUCGAGUACUGUAGCAGGACUGUGGUUCUAGUAGGAGACUGAUUUGAUUGGAUUUCUUAAUGUUAUAGAUAUAUGAGAGUUUAAGAAGUUAUUAUUUAUUCAGCAUAAAUUGCAUGCCCCCCAUCUACUGUUCUUUGAAGUUGGGGGCCUUGAAGGGAUUACGAUUACAGGACUUGUGAGCAGCUGUGGAUAUCGUGGGCUGCAUCUACGAUCAGAGAACUAUCUCAGGGCACGGCUGCCCUGGAUACGGAGAAUGUGUGGGGCGCCUUGAGAUCGGGGAUUGGUGUGCCGAAGUCCCUGUUGUCGGUGGCAUAAAAAAUAAAUGUUUGAAAUAUAUGAAGAUCUAUAAAAGGAA